rnacentral:sRNA from 1 species
AUAAUCUGGAGCUUUCAAAAUGUUUGCCAAGGCAACCAGGAAUUUUCUUAGAGAAGUUGAUGCUGAUGGUGACCUGAUUGCAGUAUCAAAUCUGAAUGACUCUGAUAAGUUACAGCUUCUAAGUCUGGUGACAAAAAAGAAGAGAUUCUGGUGCUGGCAGAGACCCAAGUACCAGUUUUUAUCCCUCACCCUUGGCGAUGUACUCAUAGAAGACCGAUUUCCGAGUCCAGUGGUCGUGGAGUCGGACUUUGUGAAAUAUGAGGGCAAGUUUGCAAACCACGUGAGUGGAACCCUGGAGACUGCACUGGGGAAGGUCAAGCUGAACCUGGGGGGCAGCAGCCGCGUGGAGAGCCAGUCUUCAUUUGGAACCCUGAGGAAGCAGGAGGUGGAUUUGCAGCAGCUCAUCAGAGACUCUGCCGAGAGAACAAUAAAUCUGAGAAACCCUGUGCUCCAGCAGGUGCUGGAGGGAAGGAAUGAGGUCCUGUGCGUUUUGACACAGAAGAUCAUGACGAUGCAGAAGUGUGUGAUCUCUGAGCACACGCAGGUCGAGGAGAAGUGUGGUGGCAUCGUGGGCAUCCAGACCAAGACGGUGCAGGUAUCAGUGACGGAGGAUGGGAAUGUCACCAAGGACUCCAACGUGGUGCUGGAGAUCCCAGCUGCCACCACCAUUGCCUACGGUGUCAUUGAGUUAUACGUGAAACUGGACGGCCAGUUCGGUGAGUGCCACCUCCUAUGGGUGCUGAGGGACCCCCAGCAGAGGAUCCCUCAGCAGAGGGACUUGACUGCUUUCCAGAGGACUCGACUGCUUUGGAGACUGUGGGAAGAGAGGGAAAGAGGUCUGAAGAGCGUAGAUUGUCCCAAGACACGGUCCCUGGACACAUGGGCUGCACUGGGGGACGGGUGUGGUGAGGGAUGCCUGGAGCAAUGCCACCCUCUCCUCCAACAUUGGUGUGGGGCGAAGUUCCACCAGCACAGUAGAGGGCUGGGCUGUGCCCUCUGGGCAUCAACCUGGGCUCCGCAUCAGACACACUGGGCAUCAACCCUGGUGCCAUGAUGUCCUAUGAGGUCUCAGGCAAGUUGCUGAAUCUUGCUGAGUCUUGGCUUCCCUGUCUCUGGAAGGUGAAGGGCAUUUCUUCACAGGGCUGUGUGAAGAUUUAAUGAGAUGAGGCCUAUGAAGCGCCUGGCACAGUGGUCAUUUAUUAAUUCCUCCACCUUUGCUAUUAAUAGCAUUAUCAUCAUUAUUGUUACCCCACCUCCUCUCCACAAGUAUGAAGCCAGACAUGCUGAACUUGACUUUUCUCUGCUGAUCACGAGUGUGUUCAAAGCGCAGAGACCCAGCUGUUGUCACGGAAGAAAAUCCAAGCUUUGGUUCAGCGUGUCUGCUCACUUUAGGUGUUCACAGCCCCUUCCCUCCUCAUGUUCCCAAUGAGAAGAGGUUGUGUUCACUCAUGAAAGCUGUGUGACCGCUCCUUAGGGACAUGAGUGGGUAAAUGUAACAUAA